AAAUUGGUCUUCAUACUUGGUUACCAGAUGCGAUGACAAUAAACUUCUGUCGCAAUAAAAUUUAGCUAUAUGCUGGAAAAUCUUAAAAUAUAAUCUUACUUUAAUAGUAAUAAUAGAUUAUUUUGAUAACCAGCAGGAAAUCAUUAUUUAAUGAGAACCUCAGAGACUUCAUGCUAAACAUCAUAAUGAUGAAGAUAAAGUCCAUAUAACUGUAAUACAGUUAU
rnacentral:ncRNA from 1 species